rnacentral:rRNA from 1 species
AGCGGAGGAAAGGAAACCAACAGGGAUUGCCUUAGUAACGGCGAAGUGGAGCGGCAAAAGCUCAAAUUUGAAAUCUGGCACCUUCGGAUGUCCGAGUUGUAAUUUGAAGAAGGUAACCUUGGGGUUGGCUCUUGUCUAUGUUUCUUGGAACAGAACGUCACAGAGGGUGAGAAUCCCGUGCGAUGAGAUGCCCAAUUACUAUGUAAGGUGCUUUCGAAGAGUCCGAGUUGUUUGGGAAUGCAGCUCUAAGUGGGUGGUAAAUUCCAUCUAAAGCUAAAUAUUGGCGAGAGACCGAUAGCGAACAAGUACAGUGAUGGAAAGAUGAAAAGAAGCUUUGAACAAGAGAGUGAAAAAGUACAGUGAAAUUGUUGAAAGGGAAGGGUAUGAGAUCAGACUUGGUGUUUUGCAACCUCACUCUCGGGUGGGGCCCCUGCAGUUCAUGCGGGCCAGCAUCAGUUUGGAUGGUAGGAACUAAUCGGACAUUGGAAUGUGGCUUGACUUCGGUUAAGUGUUAUAGGCCCCUUGUUGAUACUACCUGUCUAGACUGAGGACUGCGUCUUUGACUAGGAUGCUGGCAUAAUGAUCCUAUACCGCCCGUCUUGAAACACGGACCA